rnacentral:rRNA from 1 species
AGCAGCCGCGGUAAUUCCAGCUCCAAUAGCGUAUAUUAAAGUUGUUGCAGUUAAAAGCUCGUAGUUGAAUUUCGGGAUCAAAUUGUCGGUCGUGCCUCGGUACGCACUGGCGUUAUUGGUUCCUCCCUUCUGAAGAACCGCGAUGUCAUUAAUUUGGUGUCGCGGGGAAUCAGGACUGUUACUUUGAAAAAAUUAGAGUGUUUAAAGCAAGCUCGCGCUUGAAUACAUUAGCAUGGAAUAAUGAAAUAGGACGUUUGAUUCUAUUUUGUUGGUUUCUAGGAUCGACGUAAUGAUUAAUAGGGAUAGUUGGGGGCAUUAGUAUUCAAUUGUCAGAGGUGAAAUUCUUUGGAUUAUUGAAGACUAACUACUGCGAAAGCAUUUGCCAAGGAUGUUUUCACUAAUCAAGAACGAAAGUUAGGGGAUCGAAGACGACCAGAUACCGUCGUAGUCUUAACCAUAAACUAUGCCGACUAGGGAUCGGAUGAUGUUAAUUUUUUAAUGACUCAUUCGGCGCCUUACG